rnacentral:misc_RNA from 1 species
CCCCUGAUAAGGGUGAGGUCAAAGUUCAAUUUUUCAGACCCCCCAAAAAGGGCCAUAGCUCAGCUGGAGAGCGCCUGCUUUUGCACGCAGAGUCAGAGUUCGAUCCUCCUGGGCUCCCCAUUUGAAACGUAGUUUGCUAAAGAGAGCAGAAAAUUGAACAUGAAGCUAAAGCUGAUGUAAGAACACAGAUGGAGCACAUGGUGUUCAAUUUUUUGUUGUCUUAGGACAAUGAUCUAUAACAACCGGAAACAUUCAAUUUAAACAACUAAAUUGAGUAGCUGAGAAAAACAAGACGUUGUUACUUAUGUUUUCCUCUGCGUAGCCAACAGAUGAUGAGAGAGCAAGGCGAAAGCGAAGCAUACUUCAGAAUCUGAAAACGUAGAGUAGUAAAGAGAGAACAGCACAACCGAAAGAUAACUUGAGGUUGUAU